rnacentral:rRNA from 1 species
AUUGAACGCUGGCGGCAGGCCUAACACAUGCAAGUCGAACGAGUGGCGGACGGGUGAGUAAUGUCUGGGAAACUGCCUGAUGGAGGGGGAUAACUACUGGAACCGGUAGCUAAUACCGCAUACCAUCAGAUGUGCCCAGUUGGGAUUAGCUUGGUGGUGGGGUAACGGCUCACCAGGGCGACGAUCCCUAGCUGGUCUGCGCGGAUGACCGGCCACCCGGGAACUGAGACUCGGUCCAGACUCCUACGGGAGGUAGCAGUGGGGAAUAUUGCACAAUGAGCGCAAGCCUGAUGCAGCCAUGCCGCGGGUAUGAAGAAGGCCUUCGGGUUGUAAAGUACUUUCAGCGGGGAGGCGUUACCCGCAGAAGAAGCACCGGCUAACUCCGUGCCAGCAGCCGCGGUAAUUC